rnacentral:misc_RNA from 1 species
CAGUGGCACGACGUCUCCAUCGACGCCACCGCAACCUUCGGCGACCUGAAGGUGAUGCUGUCGCUGGCGACCGGGCUGUGGCCCAGGGAGCAGAGGCUGCUGUACAGGGGCAAGGAGAGGGACGACUGCGAGCACCUGCACAUGGUGGGGGUCCAGGACAAGGACAAGGUGCUGCUCCUGGAGGACCCGGCCGUCAAGGAGAGGAAGCUCAGGUCAACCACCUUGGCGCAGCUCAUGGGCGUGCCCUGUCACUCCUUCAUCCAAGUGUAGAGAGAAACCCCCGGGGAAUAUUUCUUGCCAUUUUUCUCCCGUCUCGUCGUCGUCGUUCUCCAAUUUGCCUGCGUGAGCGAAGGGUUUCAGUCCAGUCUAACCG